rnacentral:tRNA from 1 species
GGGCCCGUGAUCUAGCCUGGAUAAGAUACCUGGCUUCGGACCAGGAAAUCGGGGGUUCGAAUCCCUCCGGGCCCGCCA